rnacentral:snRNA from 1 species
UUGGGGUGGAUCUUUUGAGUUUA